GUGGGGAAUAUUGGGCAAUGGGCGAAAGCCUGACCCAGCAACGCCGCGUGAAGGAAGAAGGUUUUCGGAUCGUAAACUUCUAUCCUUGGUGAAGAUAAUGACGGUAGCCAAGAAGGAAGCCCCGGCUAACUACGUGCCAGCAGCCGCGGUAAUACGUAGGGGGCAAGCGUUGUCCGGAAUGAUUGGGCGUAAAGGGCGCGUAGGCGGCCCGGUAAGUCUGAAGUGAAAGUCCUGCUUUUAAGGUGGGAAUUGCUUUGGAUACUGUCGGGCUUGAGUGCAGGAGAGGUAAGCGGAAUUCCCGGUGUAGCGGUGAAAUGCGUAGAGAUCGGGAGGAACACCAGUGGCGAAGGCGGCUUACUGGCUCGAUACUGACGCUGAGGUGCGAAAGCGUGGGGAGCAAACAGGAUUAGAUACCCCUGUAGUCC
rnacentral:rRNA from 1 species